ensembl:lncRNA
CUCAAGUAAGCCCCACACACCCACCAGCAGACCGCCCCCGGGCCCUUCAAAUAUGUUGGAUGUAUUAAUGAGUAAAGUAGCCAGCUAAGCGACUUGAUCACCUUUGUGUAGACAUGUAAACAUAUUCAUGAACCACAAUUGCUGGGUUUUGGUUAGUCUAGAUGCCUGAAAUAAACUCUGCACCAGCUUAAGAGAUUUUCACAUUUUGUUCUACGACACACACAGGUUAGAAACCACCGUCUCUCACCGUUGCUUACCAUAAUCUUUUCCCCUAACUAAGGAUUCAUGGGGGACAGUUCUUUACUGUCCCCAUGAAACCUUAGGUCGCUUUUGCGAAUGUGAUAUGCACGCGAGACAUUCGCCAUGACCCAACACAACAAGGGAGAGGCAGGGUAAGCUCCCACUGACAAGAAUGCUAUGGCUAACUAGCAAUCCCACGUUUCAAAGUAGUGAUGGGAUAACCAGUUUCAUUUUGGUGACUUGGUUGUUUAACUCUCGUUCAGCAAAAAGACAACGUCUGAAUAUGUACGGUAACAAUAGCUAACUUGUGUUACGUAUCAACCAGUUAUAUGUUGUGCUUAUUCUUUGUAACUUAUUUCAACUGGUACGUAACGUUAACUAAAUCAUAUUUCUUUGUGUAACAUUAUCUGCAAGUGAGAUAGCUAACUCUUAGCAGUAACAUUGUCUGUUGUUAGCUAGACUAGCUAAAUCUGCACUUGUUACAAUUCCGUUAGGUGUCUUGUGUGUAUCUUUGUGUGUCCACAGUGCUCCUUAGCUAGCCUGUGUCUUAUUCUGCUGAAACACUUGCAACUGGCUGUUUUUGUAAACCUCUUUUCUAAACAUUGCUUUCAGAUCAUGACAUUUUCUAUAGUUUUGUUCCCGGAGGAGGACAUUUCUACUGGCCCCCAGCCAGGACACCUAGGAGGCUGGCCCUUAUUUACUCUAAAUUUGAAAAAGUACGUGGGAGACCGCAUGUGGGUAUCGCCAGAGGAGCGAAAAUGUUUAUGUUUAUUUUUAGGAUGGAGCAAGUACAGUACUCCACGGCACCAUAGAAGUACUCCACGGCACCAUAGAGGUGCUCCACGGCACCAUAGAGGUACUCCACGGCACCAUGCGGAGGACUGCAACAAAGGAGUUGACUUAAGGAUGCCCCACGUGGGACUACACCAAAGUGGCACUGUUGUUGUUCCUACAAUGCUAAUUGUAAAUCUCAGAACCGCGACACGAAGGCUCUGCUCUCACAAGACACACAAUAACAGGAAACAGAUUGAAACACUGACUGCCACUAUGCUGAGUGAUGGUUCAUUUAUUCUGCCUUUUAAGAAUAGGUGGCUCCUGGGGACCCGGGUGUGAGAGCCACUCUGAUAUGGAUGAAAUGUGACAUAACUGCUUCUCUCAACGUUGUUAGUCCCCCAGCCACCCAGACAUGGCCUUGAUAUGGUCUUGGAAUUAAGGGAAUCAGAAGAAACUACGAGGUCUCGCUGGAUAAAGUUACUCAAUCCAGAAAUUCCAUCUGCCUUUCUUUUGUGUUGUAAGUGCUAAGCUACUUUGAAUUGAGUCAAAUAGUGGUGAUGACACACUUAAAUGUUCAUUAAACUUUAUUUGCACAAACCCCUAAAGGACGUUUGCUCAUUCUUGCACAUUAUUAUUUCCGUAGGCCAAUACUUUAUUUGUACUUACACGUUGUAACUCUGAAACUAUAUACCAUUUCACUAAUUUUACAUAUUGACUCAUAAAUGUUUUGUUCUAUAUUAUGUAAACUGAUUCUGGUAAUGUCCGCUGGAAGAAUAGCUCUGUAUGGGGCCAGGUGCUGGUGUCUGACGCUAAUUGGGAAUCUCUGUGCCAGAAUUUAGGUGAUAUGGAGACUCAUUUUAUGUUGCGACCCACUAUGGUGAAAGAUCAGAGAGUAGUGCUAGUCAUAUUAGCAAUGUUCAAGGUUCCAAGUACUGUAUCUCUAACUAAUGUAAAAAAAAGUUAUGACUCAAAGCCGGUUACCAAAUGUUUCUGAGGUGAUAGACAUUUUGAAAUGUAUUGCUCGCUGUGCCAGUGGGAUCCAAUGCCCUCUCUCACAAAUUUUUAGCUUUGACACCUGUUUGUUGUUUUUGCCCUUACUUGUGUUCCUGAUCACUGUCUUUAUUUAAGUUCCUCCUUUCCUAUUGUAUCUUCUCGAUCAUUAUUUGGUUCUCAUGCCACUGUAAUGUUGAUUUGUGUUUUUGUGUGUAGUUUUUGUCACUUCUUA